GGGGCUGUCACGGUAUUGACAGCAUAGGUCUUUGAAAGUGUAAGCAUGCAGUGCGUUGUGUAAUCAGCACUUAAAUCUGGAAUGCACAAACUAUAAAUGGCAAUACUAAGUAUGCCAUGGCUGCCUAAUCAGUGAUUACGUAGUCAUUAUGGCCGGGUAGCAGGCAGGCUUGUAGCCAGUUGCCCCGCCCAAUCAAAAACAAUACGAGCUGCUGUUGCGGAAGGCUGUGACUGUAACUUAAGACCAUGCAGCUAAGAAUUCAAUCGGUUGUCUGUUUCCAGUUGGGUUUCUGAUCCUGAUUCUAUCGGGAAAUAAAACAGGAUAAGCAUGUAGAAAGCUUUUGAAGGAUAUGUUUGGACAGGGGUUCGACUCCCCUCAGCUCCACUU
rnacentral:tmRNA from 1 species